GGUUUUUACGCUACCAGAGAAACAUAAUUUUGCAUCCACAAAUUUCGAAUUCUAUCAAUGUUCUAAUACUUAGAUGCCUUUUCAAAUUUACCCAAGUUGCUAAGCAGAUGCAGGGUAGCACUAAUGAUGUUUCUCUGUAAUUGAAAUCAGUACACCGAUUUCUUGAUUAAAUUGUGCUGCAACUUUUUUCCCCCGAGCAAACUGUGCUGUAACUUUACUCUUGUAUUUAUUUAUGUGGUGUUCAAGUUAAAGGAUUUGCAAAAAUAUCUAGCUAUCAUCUGUACUUUAUAAUAUUAAGAGGAUAUUGCUCAACUUAGUGUCCAGUUUCUCUAUCAUACAGUUUGGUAGCUUGUUCACUAGAGACAUUUGGUAACAUGUUUGUUCUCAUACUUCACGGUGAUUAAGAAUCGAAGUGCACCGAGAAAUGAGUUGAUGAACCCUCAUGGGUGGUCUCACCAUGCUUAUCAAAGUUCUACUUAUAGGAUGGUUUCAUGGGCACUCGAGACGAGGAGACAUGCAGAUUUUUCAAGAAUUCUUCAGUGCAGGUAUUGCUUUGCCCACGAUCUACUGGGAAAUGACACAGCUGGGUGAAACAGCAGGAAACAGGAACCAUUUUUACUCAUCAUCAGAAAACAGUUAUUGUGGAUGCUGAUGCUGGCAAUUAUAGGAGAAAGAUAAUUGCUUUUGUCGGAGGCCUUGAUUUAUGUGGUGGGCGAUAUGAUACACCUUGGCAUCCUCUGUUUCAGACUCUUCAGACUGUUCACAAGGAGGAUUAUUACAAUCCCAACUUUGCUACAGUUGAUGCUCGUGGCCCAAGGCAACCGUGGCACGACUUGCAUUCCAAGAUUGACGGUCCAGCUGCUUAUGAUGUUCUGCAAAACUUUCAGAGCGUCGGUUAAAGGUGGCCAAACGUCAUGGGAUUAAAAAGUUGGCAAAAUCGUAUGAUGAUGCUCUGCUCAGUAUUGAAAGAAUACCGGAGAUUAUAAACAUAAAUGAUGCAACAUAUUUUACUGACAAUGAUCCAGAGACAUGGCAUGUUCAGGUAUUUAUAGUUUUGUAUAUAGUUGGAAAAAAGAAACAUUUGCCCCUCUUGUUAUUCCGUCUUUCAAGCAUUGACCUUUCUUUACUUUGAAAUUCAGGUGUUUGGAUCUAUUGAUUCAAACUCUGCCAAGGGAUUUGCAAAGGACCCACGAGAAGCAACUAGGAAGGUGUUCUUUUGCCAAGGUUGUGUCACGUUUGCUAUGGUGCCAUAUCACUUUUGUUUAACAAAUUUUUGGCGUCCGUUGCAACGCACGAGUAGAAAACUAGUCUCCUUCAGAAAUCAGAAUAAAUAUUGGAACAGAUUCAAUAUCCAUUACCCACACUUUAAUGAUCACCCUUGAUAAGUGAUGAGAUUCUUCCUCCCAAAGGACCAAACGACCAAAAUAACUAAUAGCAGCUUCAAUACAAUG